AACGAACGCUGGCGGCAUGCCUAACACAUGCAAGUCGAACGAGACCUUCGGGUCUAGUGGCGCACGUGUGCGUAACGCGUGGGAAUCUACCCUCAGGUUCGGAAUAACUCAGAGAAAUUUGAGCUAAUACCGGAGGAUGACGUAAGUCCAAAGAGUUAUCGCCUGAGGAUGAGCCCGCGUAGGAUUAGGUAGUUGGUGAGGUAAAGGCUCACCAAGCCGACGAUCCUUAGCUGGUCGGGGAGGAUGCUCAGCCACACUGGGACUGAGACACGGCCCAGACUCCUACGGGAGGGAGCAGUGGGGAAUAUUGGACAAUGGGCGAAAGCCUGAUCCAGCCGUGCCGCGUGAGUGAUGAAGGCCUUAGGGUUGUAAAGCUCUUUUACACGGGAUGAUAAUGACAGUACCGGGAGAAUAAGCUCCGGCUAACUACGUG
rnacentral:rRNA from 1 species